rnacentral:rRNA from 1 species
CCUACGGGAGGCAGCAGUGGGGAAUAUUGCACAAUGGGCGCAAGCCUGAUGCAGCCAUGCCACGUGUAUGAAGAAGGCCUUCGGGUUGUAAAGUACUUUCAGCGGGGAGGAAGGCGUUGAGGUUAGUAACCUCAGCAAUUGACGUUACCCGCAGAAGAAGCACCGGCUAACUCCGUGCCAGCAGCCGCGGUAAUACGGAGGGUGCAAGCGUUAAUCGGAAUUACUGGGCGUAAAGCGCACGCAGGCGGUCUGUCAAGUCGGAUGUGAAAGCCCCGGGCUCAACCUGGGAACUGCAUUCGAAACUGGCAGGCUAGAGUCUUGUAGAGGGGGGUAGAAUUCCAGGUGUAGCGGUGAAAUGCGUAGAGAUCUGGAGGAAUACCGGUGGCGAAGGCGGCCCCCUGGACAAAGACUGACGCUCAGGUGCGAAAGCGUGGGGAGCAAACAGGAUUAGAUACCCUCGUAGUC